AGAGAGUAAAGAUUCUAGUUAGACUUUUGUACUUGAUCCUAAUCUGUUCUAAGGUCUUUUAGAAAAAAUGUAACUCCCACUAUUUUCUCGAAUUCCUCACACUCCCCUGGUAGGAAAACGGAAAUCCCACACGACUAGGAUUUCUAGUGGGUACUGCGGUCCCACCAAUUUACAUGCCACCUCACCUAACAGUUAUUGGUGAUACAUAGAUUGAUGAAUGUACAACUCUUGUACAAUGCUUCUCAAGCAUGUUGCAGUGUAACUUGGUCUCUAAGCCAUGAAAAUCUCACCUAACAGUUAUUAGUCCCAUUUCUUAGUUAAGUC
rnacentral:lncRNA from 1 species